CCUACGGGAGGCUGCAGUGGGGAAUAUUGGACAAUGGGCGAAAGCCUGAUCCAGCCAUGCCGCGUGUGUGAAGAAGGCCUUCGGGUUGUGAAGCACUUUCAGUGGGGAAGAAAGCCUUGGGGCUAAUACCCUCGAGGAAGGACAUCACCCACAGAAGAAGCACCGGCUAACUCCGUGCCAGCAGCCGCGGUAAUACGGAGGGUGCGAGCGUUAAUCGGAAUUACUGGGCGUAAAGCGCGCGUAGGCGGUCUGAUAAGCCGGUUGUGAAAGCCCCGGGCUCAACCUGGGAACGGCAUCCGGAACUGUCAGGCUAGAGUGCAGGAGAGGAAGGUAGAAUUCCCGGUGUAGCGGUGAAAUGCGUAGAGAUCGGGAGGAAUACCAGUGGCGAAGGCGGCCUUCUGGACUGACACUGACGCUGAGGUGCGAAAGCGUGGGUAGCAAACAGGAUUAGAUACCCUAGUAGUC
rnacentral:rRNA from 1 species